AACGCACCUUGCGCUCCUUGGUAUUCCGAGGAGCAUGCCUGUUUGAGUGUCAUUAAAUUCUCAACCUUUAUCAACUUUUUAAGUAGAUAAAUGGCUUGGAUGUGGGGGUUGCCGGUUUCUCUUUUGAAAUCAGCUCUCCUGAAAUAUAUUAGCUGGUUGCCUUGUGUAAACCUGUCUAUUGGUGUGAUAAUUAUCUACGCCGUGGACUAUUUACCGUUUUUAAGCACUGCUUCUAACCGUCUGUUCAUUCGGACAAUCUAUGACAAUUUGACCUCAAAUCAGGUAGGACUACCCGCUGAACUUAA
rnacentral:misc_RNA from 1 species